rnacentral:rRNA from 1 species
UACGGAGGGCGCAAGCGGUAUCCGGAAUCACUGGGUUUAAAGGGUGCGUAGGCGGCUAAAUAAGUCAGAGGUGAAAGCUUGCAGCUUAACUGCGAAAUUGCCUUUGAUACUGUAUAGCUUGACAGGAGCUGAGGUCAGCAGAAUGUGGCAUGUAGCGGUGAAAUGCAUAGAUAUGCCAUAGAAUACCAAUUGCGAAGGCAGCUGGCUGGGCUUACUUUGACGCUGAGGCACGAAAGCGUGGGGAUCGAACUGG